rnacentral:rRNA from 1 species
AUUGAACGCUGGCGGCAUGCCUUACACAUGCAAGUCGAACGGCAGCACGGGAGCAAUCCUGGUGGCGAGUGGCGAACGGGUGAGUAAUAUAUCGGAACGUGCCCAGUCGUGGGGGAUAACGUAGCGAAAGCUACGCUAAUACCGCAUACGAUCUAUGGAUGAAAGCGGGGGAUCGCAAGACCUCGCGCGAUUGGAGCGGCCGAUAUCAGAUUAGGUAGUUGGUGAGGUAAAGGCUCGCCAAGCCGACGAUCUGUAGCUGGUCUGAGAGGACGACCAGCCACACUGGGACUGAGACACGGCCCAGACUCCUACGGGAGGCAGCAGUGGGGAAUUUUGGACAAUGGGCGGCAAGCCUGAUCCAGCAAUGCCGCGUGCAGGAUGAA